rnacentral:tRNA from 1 species
CAAAAUGUAGUUUANCCAAAACCCCUCGCUUACACCGAGAUGUUAUCUAGUAAAUAUAGAUCAUGNGGGA